GACAAUUUUUGUUAUCACAUAAUUCCACAAUUGUGAACAAAGUAUCCAAGAUAUAUAGAAGCUCAGGAGCUUCUUAUCAGGGAAAGUUGAUUAAAUACUGGAUAUAUGCUAGGUAAUCAUAUACCAACAAAGUAAUAAGAAUUGAUAGUUCAAGGAUUAAAGCUUGGCUGCAAAAUUUUGAAUUUCCAUUUGCUUAUGAAACCUCAAUAACUUUUUCUUUCAAGAUUAGGAGCAAGCCGUGAUUUGUUUUUUCUCUGAAGCUUUCUACUUGAAAACAGAAUCUGAAUAAUGAUUGAUGAGUUGAAUAUUGUAAAAUUUAAUAAGUCAUAAUAUAUUCAGAAAAUCUUGUGCUUCAUGUCUAUUUCAAAGUUUGUCUCCUUUAUUUGGCUAGGAAUCUUUGGUGCGUAUAAUAACAUAGUGAUGUGAUAUUAUUAGGUUCGUUACACUUGGAAUUGUUUUUACAUUAUUUUUUAAUUUUUGCCAAGUGUUCAUUAAAAAAAAAAGUUGGAAAAUAUAAAAAAUUUAUUGUUGACAUAUUAGUGUACUC